GACGAACGCUGGCGGCGUGCUUAACACAUGCAAGUCGAACGGACAGGCCCUGCUUUUGUUGGUUGCUCGUGUGGCGAACGGGUGAGUAACACGUGAGUAUCCUGCCCUUGUCUUUGUGAUAACUUCAGGAAACUGCGGCUAAUACCGCAUAUGAGCUCCUGCUGCAUGGUGUUGGUUGGAGAGUUUCGGCGGUUGUGGCUGUUCUCGCGGCUUAUCAGCUUGUUUGUGGGGUAGUGGCUUACCAAGGCUUUGACAGGUAGCCGGCCUGAGAGGGGUACCGGCCACAUUGGGACUGAGGUACGGCCCAGAAUCCUACGGGAGGCAGCAGGGGGGAAUAUUGCACAAUGGGCGGAAGCCUGAUGCAGAAACGCCGCGUGCGGGAUGACGGCCUUCGGGGUGUAAACCGCUUUCGCCGGUGACGAAGCGUGAGUGACGGUAAUGGGUUAAGAAGCACCGGCUAACUACGUG
rnacentral:rRNA from 1 species